rnacentral:rRNA from 1 species
GACGAACGCUGGCGGCGUGCCUAAUACAUGCAAGUCGAACGCAGUGGGGACGGGUGAGUAACACGUGGGUAACCUCCAAUCAGAGGGGAGAAAACUUGGAAACAGGUGCUAAACCGAUACUGAUGGAUGAACCCGGGGUGCAUUAGCUAGUUGGUGAGGUAACGGCUCACCAAGGCCACGAUGCAUAGCUGGACUGAGAGGGGGAUCAGCCACACUGGGACUGAGACACGGCCCAGACUCCUACGGGAGGCAGCAGUAGGGAAUCUUCGGCAAUGGACGAAAGUCUGACCCAGCAACGCCGCGUGAGUGAAGAAGGUUUUCGGAUCGUAAAACACUGUUGUUAGAGAAGCGGUAUCUACCCAGAAAGCCACGGCUAACUACGUGCCAGCAGCCGCGGUAAUUC